rnacentral:rRNA from 1 species
AUUGAACGCUGGCGCCAUGCUUUACACAUGCAAGUCGAACGGCAGCGCGGGCUUCGGCCUGGCGGCGAGUGGCGAACGGGUGAGUAAUGCAUCGGAACGUGCCCAGUAGUGGGGGAUAGCCCGGCGAAAGCCGGAUUAAUACCGCAUACGACCUGAGGGUGAAAGCGGGGGACCGAAAGGCCUCGCGCUAUUGGAGCGGCCGAUGUCGGAUUAGCUAGUUGGUGGGGUAAAGGCUUACCAAGGCGACGAUCCGUAGCUGGUCUGAGAGGACGACCAGCCACACUGGGACUGAGACACGGCCCAGACUCCUACGGGAGGCAGCAGUGGGGAAUUUUGGACAAUGGGGGCAACCCUGAUCCAGCCAUGCCGCGUGCGGGAAGAAGGCCUUCGGGUUGUAAACCGCUUUUGUUCGGGAAGAAAUCCUCUGGGCUAAUACCCCGGGGGGAUGACGGUACCGGAAGAAUAAGCACCGGCUAACUACGUG